UGCUUGUCCCUUGAGAAUAUUUUCACUGUAAUUUUUGAUCAUCUGGAGACCAGAACUCUCAGUGCAGAUAAAUGAUGAAUGGUGGUGGGCGGGGUGGAGGGGGUGGGGAUAGUUACUUGGAAGGUGCUGACUGGUCAGGCACCCUCCCCAGAGGCUGUGAAAGCGUCCUGGCCUUGGUGCUGCCUGCUGAGGCUGGGGGCAAGUGUGGCAGAGGGAAGGAAAGCGCCCAUCCCCGGAGAUGUGCACUGGAGAAACCAAACAUACAGGGGUGGCUGGACUCUGGGCUGUGCUCCAAAGGGGGUGUUUGCUGUACACCCUCCAGCAGUCUCUCCAUCACAGCUGCCUAGCUCUGGGGUCCUGCCCAGACAGCUGUGUAGCCCAGACGCCCACCUGCUGGCUCCCACAUCCUUGACUGCAGGACCCAGCUCCCACGGGAUUCCUUCUGGGUUCCUAUUUCUCCCUACUAUUUUGCUGUGGGUUAGUGUUACUGCUCAGGAAAGUCAGAAGCUCCUCAAAAGCAGGUGCAUGUCUUGUUUAGAGCCCCACACAGCAUGAAGCCCCAGUCAAGACGUGGUGAGCGAUCAAUAACGUUUGCGAAUUGACUGUAUUCCAUGAGGAAACCGCUCGUGACAAAUGAGUUUCCACUCACAUCCUAAUUGUCCUUUCUUUGGAGAGGGCUCCUGGAACCAAACAGCCAUCAGUUCUACAGCGGGCAAGAGAGAAAAUUAUAGCCGAGGAGGGACAGGGCUCAAGUGUAAAUAAGAAAAGGAAAUGCUUGGACUUUCUCGAUGCAAUAAAAGUUCUAUAUAAUAAUAUUAUAUGGAACUAACUGUGCAAUUAAGCCCGAAAAUUGCAAGCUUCCAGUUUGUCCUUCCAGCCAAAUGCCAGGCGGUUCUCAUGGUGGAUGGCGUCUGCUUAGAAGAAAAGUGCAAGUUUUGAGGCAAAUCUGAGGUUUCACUUCCUUUGGAAAACACAGGCUGGGGUGGGAUCCUUGAGGCCAUCCGGCUGGGCCGCUGAUCCAGGCCUUAUCUCCAAAUCGAAGUGGACAGCAGCAGGGAGGCCAACGUGUUUUUCAAGAGCUGAGGCGUAACUAGGACAUCUUAUACCUGGAUGAGGCCUGGGAGUGUGAUCCUGCCCUCCUUCCUCCCUCGGCCCCUUCCGCCCCCACCCCACCCCCCAGCUUUUCCCUACCCCUUCUGACCCCAGGGGUCCGGAGCAGGGGUGUGGCUGUGAGUAAUGGGUCAGAGGGUACACUAUCCUAGCUGGUUUCCAGGACAGCCUGUUGCCGACACCUCCUCAAAGGCAGCUCCAAGCAGAUUCCUCUCCCAUCUGGAAGCUUCCCUGACUUCCUUCCCAUGGCCUCUUACACAGUCCGAGUGCAUCUGAGGCCUCCUCUCCCUGCCAGCACUUCCCCAGUGGAGUUCCCCAACCCCACCCCAAUGGAGUCCCUGCCCCUCGGCCUGCCCCCAAGGGACCCUGUCCUCACCUCUGGCCUAGCUCUUAGCACUGCUGUCUUUAUCUCCCAUUUUUCUGUGCGUCCUUAAGGAAUUCCAUCCCUUUCAUCCCUGUUUCUCCAGCCGCAGAUGGGUAAACUCCGCUUAGGAAACCUGGAGCCCGACAGCUUGGGUUCAAGUCCCAACUCUGCCUCAGUUUCUCCACUUGAAAAAUGGGUUUUGGAGGGGAUUAAGUAAGAGAAUCUACAUAAAAUAUUUAGGUCAGCAACUCACAUCGAACACUCAGUACAUCUCAGCUGAUAGUUUCAUUCUGUCUAUAUCAGCUGGAGGAAUACAACAUAUGUUGUAUCUCUGUCAAGCUGGGUGCCUGUCUCUUCGUCAUGCUCCCCACACAGGGCCUGUAGGAUUGUUUGUAAUGAAUUAGGGCACAUUCUGGAGAAGCAAUUUCCAGACCCCAAUGUGUGUUCACACUUAUUUCCCUGUGUAACCUGGCAGCAUCCCUGAGACACCUGGGUUGGGGGUAGAGGACAGAAUCAGGAAGUCCACAGUCGGACACAGCAGCCCCAAGACAGCAGAGGUUGAGCUGCUCGUGACCUCAGAAUCCAAAGAUCCACCCUGGAACCAGAAUAUUUAAGUGGAUCAGCUAGAGGACACCAUAGCACCAUCGAGUGUGUGGGCAGCAAGGGACCUUCACAGCCUCCUGGUCUCACAUAACAGAAGAAACCGAAGCUCAGAAAGGGAACGUGGCCAGUCCAAGGUCACCAGUAACUCAGCUGCAGAGCACAGAGGAAUUGUCAGUGCAGACUUUAAUUGCACCUCCUCCGCAGAAGCGUCGUAGCCCCCUCUGCGGACUGCACACCUGGGCAUUUCUCAGCCCCGCCUCUUCAUGCCCUUUCCCAAAACAGGCCUCGGCCUUUCUCCGCUCCAGCUCUGGCCCUCUCACCUGGCAGUGCUUUCCCUUCUCCCACCAUCAAGCCCCCUGGUCCAGCGGCAACAGGAGUUGCACAGGGAUCCCUGGGCUCACAGGUCAAGGUGGCUGGACGGCAGAGCGCACUCAGGCUGGCCAGCUGUGUAAGCACCUUGGUGCCUUCUAGAAGAAACACUAAACUACAUCCCCAGGAAGGGUUGAAAUAAGUGCUGCCUCUUAACCCACUCCGAACACAACUCCUCAAAUAACUCACAAAAUCUAAACCAUUCCCACCCCUCUGCAGGAGACGGCUGCUUUGGGCAGAAAUGCUAAAAGAAUAGUGCUCCCGGGGGCUCCUGCAUGGUCCCCACCUCCCCACCCUCCUGUGAGCUCGUGGCCGUGGGGAGUGUAGCCCACCAGCCGGGACACCUCCUGCAAAGGCACCCAGAGGCAGCUGGGAUUCUGAAGCUCCGUAACCCGGGGCCUAGUGCUCUUUAUGGGAAACAAGUGAUUUAUUUUAUUAUCUAAAUUUUCGGUGGUUUAAUAAGGUUUAAUGAGCCUCCCAAGGAGCCUUCUGGCUCGGGAAAUCGCCUGUAAUAAACACAAGUAGUAAAUCCUUUAUUUGGAACAUAAAGAGGUGCGCAAUUUCUCUUAAAAGGAAACAAGUCUUCCCCCCUCCCCCGCCUUGCCCUCUAAUAAAUAAAGGAUGAAUACAUAAUUAAAGAACCACAGUUUGAAGGGAUACCACUUAUGUGUCUGGCUCAGACUCCCAGGGCCAGCCCAGCCAGCAGGCAGGUGCUACCUAGCCUCAUUCCCAAAUCUGGAAAAGAAUCCACAUCCCUUCUCUGCCCCUGUGCAACUCCACCCUCGCCCUCACUAAUUCUGCCAGGCGUCUUCGAAGCUCCAGGCCCAGGCAGGGGAGGAACUGGAGGCUGGAGAGGGGACCACUCCCAGGGCAGUGGGAGCCUGCCAACUGGGGCCAGUCUGCCGUGGGGAUUUGGCAGAUGGAAGCGUCAUCCUGGGCCCCAGAUUUGCUAACCUGAGCAUGAUUCAAGGAGGCACUGAACUUGUGGAUCAAGGCGAUAGAAUUGUCCUGAAAGUCACAUCACUGAGGUCGCCAUGGAGGACAGGAAAGGGAUGGGACUGGAGCAGAAAUCAAAUCCCUGACCUGCUGUUUUCUAGCCGUGUGACUUGGGGCAAAGGACUUAGCCUCUCUGAUCCCCAUCAAAUGAGAAUCAUAAUAGGAUGAAAUGAGUAGAUAUAAGCACUUAACGAAUGAUAGGGCUCUGUUCAAAUGUCAGAUGUCCCCAGUGCAGAGGGCUGGGGCCACCCACUGCCUUUUGUGACUUCAAGGCUCUCUCCACUGUGUAUUUGAACAGACCUCAUUCAUUCAGCAUCUCCCAUGUUCCUGCCUAAUGGCAUCCUGGGAAUGAUACAGACAUAUAAGAGACAAUCCUGGAGCAAGUGAGAUCCAUGCAGUUACUUCCCCAUUUCCCACAUAAGCAAACUGAGGGCAGCAGGAGUAUACACAUAAUUUGCCAAUCCCUGCACUUCACAUUCCUAGUAAAACCAGUCCUAGAACAUGGGGUGCCUACUAGCCAGACGACCCCACACCCGGUUGGGGUCACAGGCUUAGGCGUCAGAGUACCUGGUUCUAGUUCCAGCCCUGGCACUAAUGCGCUGUGUGACCUUGGGCAUCAGCUACUCACUGUGCCUUAUUUUCCUCAUUUGUAAAAUAGGCGUAAAGUUUCUACCAGCCUUGCCUGCCUCUUUGGGUUAGGAGUACAUGAGACAGGAGGUAUGAAAGGACCUUGGAAGACUACAGUGUCCUCCACAUGCUGGGGUGGCCCUGGGAAUGUCUUUGGGAGAGGUGAUUAAAUAGUAUGGUCUCUGCAAAACUAUACAGAAGGGAAAUUAGUUCCUGGUACGACGCCACCUCCUUCUGUCAAGACCCCUGUUAGGUGUCUUUGUCCCUCCCGGACUUCCUAAUUGCCAGCAGUGUUUGAGUACCUCCUCUGUCCCAGGAGCACUUCCUGUGCCUUCCCUCAUUUGAUCCGCCCAACAACUCUUACCAUCCUCACUGAACAGAUGAAGAAACUGAGCUCAGGGGGGUGAAACCUAGUCCCCGAGGCCAGGAUGUGGACCCGGGAGGUCUUAAAGCAGGGCCCUCACUCUCCACCUCCCAGCAUAAUCCCCCUGUUGUCAGAUGGCUGUCAGCCAACUUCAGGCACACGCUGGCUGAGAACAGCUUCCUGUGUGAUCUCGCUCAGGAUCCAGGUUAAACACACCUUCAGGCGGGACUCUAGAAAUCCAAAGCUUUCCAGAUCCAAAUGAUACGGGGCAGGUCCUUCCUGCCCCUCUGCGCAGUGAGACCUUCUUUAUCCUUCACAGAUCAGACAGGGCGCCUCCUCCUGGAAGUCUGCUCCGAUCCCCCAGCCCGCAGGGGUCUGUUGCCUCCCUGUCCGUACCUCUCUCACUGGUGCUCAGUCCUGAGCCCCCCUGGCCUGCUUGGGUCUUAGGUCCCCAGUGUACAACCCUCAGCCCUGACUCUGAUUAAAUCUCUAAACUUUUGGGGGCUAGGGUCCAAAUCCCCCUACCCACAAGUCGGACUUUGUAAGGGGCAGUGUUAUAAGGGGAAUGAACGUGAGCUUUGGCACCAAAUGCAGCCGGGUUCAGACCCUGGUUCGGACACUUUUGUGUGGCAUUGGGCAAGACACUUACCCUCUCCAUACUCUUUCUUUAUCUCUAGAUUGCAGGUGAUGAUAAAAAUAUGUACCUUUCACGGGUCGUGUUGAUUGAAGAAGGCUUAGAGGUGCAAUGACCGACACGUUACAGGCACUUGAUAAAUGGUAGCUGGUAUUGAUUGUUAUUAUAAACGCUGGCUUGCCUGCUUGAUUGAUUUGGCCAUUAGAACAGGACACAAAUAAAAACAAAAAUUCAAGUCACACUCAAGAAAUUAGUUCGGAGGACUUCUAGAGCCAGGUUUCUACAGUGCAAUUCUCUGAGUCCAAGGCCCCCUCUCUCCUUCCAAAGGCUCCAGCUCCACCUCUUCUCUGAUCUUCUCAUAGAAACACCCCCUCCUCCUCUUUAGCUGGUGAGCUAAAGGGCAUGACCCUUCUCCCUAUAGUGAGAGGGGGGAGGAGAGUACCUGAGGCAGGUAGAGUACCUGAGGCUAGUUCUCAUGUUACAGUUGAAUUAACCUAGGCCGGAGAUGAGAAGUGCUGCCUUUGCCAGAAGGCUACUUGGACGUACCUGGGCUCUAGAACCUUCCACAGAGGGCACAGGCCCAGGGGAGGCUGUGGUGAGCCUCAUGUCCUCUAGAAUGGGGACCACACCUGAAAAGGUUUCACCCGCCCUGCAUUCUGGCUCUUUAAUCUCCUUCUUCCAUUUGCAAGCUCCUCUUUCCCCCUUUUCCUCCUCCGCCAUUAGUUCUUGGCUCUAUAUUUUUUCUAUCACCUUCAUACCAGAGGUUCAUAUUUUGCGUCAAGCCUCUCCUAGCUGUCGAGCGGUUUGGUUUUGUGUUUGUGUGUGUGUGUGUGUGUGUGUGUGUGUGUGUGUGUAAUUUUCUUUCCUGAGCGUGUUAUUCUUGGAGAAGGAGUGCCCUGGCUUGGGCGAUGGGAGGGAUGGAAGGGAGGGGAUGGAGGGCCUGGGUGCAAAGGUGGGGGCUGGACAUGGCAUCCCCUCUGGAACACUGCUGUCUGCGGGCCCGCCAGGCAUGGGGCUCUUAGGGUCACCAGGGAAGCUUCCAGAGUGUAGGCAGGGUGGGGGCACUUUUUCCCAAAGAGUUAAUAAAAACAGCAAACCACAGCCCCCCUUCCCCUGCUACCUCCUGCCAGGAAAAACAGCCCCGAGCUCUGUGGUUACAUCUGUUCCUCCAGGAAUGGUACAAAGACUCCAAACCAUGCCAUGGUGAGAAGUCGCUGCUGGACAGACCAGCCUUCAAGUCCAGGGUCACCCAGGCCUGUCACCCCCUCCCCACUGCCAGAUCCACUUUGUGCUUUCUCAUGGUCAUGACGCCGGUUGUAAGAUUUCCCCUGUCCGUCCAAUGACAAGAUGAGGAAAGAGAAGCCCAGAGAGGCGGUGGGGCCUCCCGGAGUCACACAGCUGUGGUUUCUGACCCCCAGGCCCAAGCAGACCAGCUCCAAAAGCAUGGGAAGCAGGACAUUUAGCACAGGGGUGGUGCUGUCCAUCCCUCAGAGGGCUCGGGUGAGACAAGGAUCACCUACACCCCAUCCAAUGGGUUCCCGCUCCUCUAUUUAAGAAGGUAGGGAUAAGUUUAAGGAAUUGCGGGAAUUUUUCCUGAAAAACAUUUUAAAACAUUUUUGUCUUUAUAAGAAUAAGCCCUCGGCAAGCAAGAAAACUUGCGUGAAAGAACUAAUUUCCUGAGGUUUUAAUGAUUUGGACUUUUAAUAGUUGAUGGGGCAUUUCAUUCACGAACAGUCUUUUCAGGUGAGAAGGUUCCUCUGAGGGUCAGAACCCUGCUACCAUUAGGGUAGCUUCGUGGGAAUUAGAAAAAGGUGUCAUUUCCUCGAUACAUCUACUUCCAUCUAUCAAACCAGUGUCGUAAUAUACUGAUUUUGUCAGAAGACAGCAUUUAAUGCCAUCUGCCAGAAAUGAUAGCUAUCACAAACCCAUAAUGUCUAUGAAGUGAAUGUUGUCUCUGUGUUGCCUGUUGUAUUAUCUGUUAUCUUCCUGUGUUAUCUAUUAUGUUAUCUAUUGCUGUAUAACAAGUUACUCUGAAACUGAGUAACUUAAAACAAGAAUAAACGUUUACUAUCCCCGG